UACGGAGGGGCAAGCGUUGUUCGGAAUUACUGGGCGUAAAGGGCGGGUAGGCGGCCACCGCAAGUCAGUUGUGAAAUCUCUGGGCUUAACCCAGAAAGGUCAACUGAUACUGCGGGGCUAGAGUGCAGAAGGGGCAACUGGAAUUCUCGGUGUAGCGGUGAAAUGCGUAGAUAUCGAGAGGAACACCUGCGGCGAAGGCGGGUUGCUGGGCUGACACUGACGCUGAACUGCGAAAGCUAGGGGAGCGAACGGG
rnacentral:rRNA from 1 species